GGGUCAGUAGGUUGGUCGUGCCACCGGUACGUACUGGUCUCACUGAUUCCUCCUUCCUGAAGAACCGUAAUGCCAUUAAUUUGGUGUUGCGGGGAAACAGGACUAUUACUUUGAAAAAAUUAGAGUGUUUAAAGCAAGCUAACGCUUGAAUACAUUAGCAUGGAAUAACGAAAUAGGACGAUCGAUCCUAUUUUGUUGGUUUCUAGGAUUGACGUA
rnacentral:rRNA from 1 species